rnacentral:rRNA from 1 species
CUAACAGGAUUCCCCUAGUAACUGCGAGUGAAGCGGGAAAAGCUCAAAUUUAAAAUCUGGUGGUCUUUGGCCAUCCGAGUUGUAAUUUAGAGAAGCGUCUUCCGCGCUGGGCCGUGCACAAGUCUCCUGGAAUGGAGCGUCACAGAGGGUGAGAAUCCCGUCUUUGGCAUGGACACACCAGGGCUUUUGCGAUGCGCUCUCGAAGAGUCGAGUUGUUUGGGAAUGCAGCUCAAAAUGGGUGGUGAACUCCAUCUAAAGCUAAAUAUUGGCGAGAGACCGAUAGCGAACAAGUACCGUGAGGGAAAGAUGAAAAGCACUUUGGAAAGAGAGUGAAACAGUACGUGAAAUUGUUGAAAGGGAAACGCUUGAAGUCAGUCGCGUCGACCGAGACUCAGCCUUGCCUUGGCUUGGUGUACUUCUCGGCCGACGGGUCAGCAUCAAUUUCGCCCCUUGGAUAAUGAUGGGGGAAAUGUGACACCUUUACGGUGUGUUAUAGUCUCUUGUCGCAUGCAAGGGUCGGGAUUGAGGAACUCAGCACGCACCUUUGGGUGUCGGGGCCUUUGCCCACGAUACGUGCUUAGGAUGUUGGCGUAAUGGCUUUAAACGACCCGUCUUGAAACACGGACCAAGGAGUCUAACAUGCCUGCGAGUGUUCGGGUGGAAAACCCGUGCGCGUAAUGAAAGUAAAAGUUGGGACCUCUGUCGUGGAGGGCACCGACGCCCGGACCAGACCUUCUGUGACGGCUCUGCGGUAAAGCAUGUAUGUUAGGACCCGAAAGAUGGUGAACUAUGCCUGAAUAGGGUGAAGCCAGAGGAAACUCUGGUGGAGGCUCGUAGCGAUUCUGACGUGCAAAUCGAUCGUCAAAUUUGGGUAUAGGGGCGAAAGACUAAUCGAACCAUCUAGUAGCUGG